rnacentral:misc_RNA from 1 species
AGUGCACAUGUGCCCACAUCUGUAUAAUAAAGAAUCAAUGUGGCUGUCACAACAAACGCAACAUGUCCCUUUCCUUACAUGACCCCACUUAGAUCCAUCCUCAGACGUCUCAGCAACCAAACCUUUUUCACCAGCUGAUCGAUUCAGAGCUGCAGACACUUCCUGUCUAACAGAACGCUGCAACUCAAGUUGCAUAUCCAUGCAGGCCUCCAACAUCCUCUGCAUGUGGCUCAUUCCUUGCUGAAGUCUUGCCAUGUCAGCUCUCAAGUCAUUAAUCAUCUCCCACUCCUGCACCCCACAACAUAAUCCUCGUUUAAAUUAUCACAUCACAUAUUACUAAAAGUAGACUGUCAUUGGCAGAAUGCCAUUAUCGGCAAACUCUCUAUAGUGCAUAUUGGAUAUGAAUAGGCCUAGUUUAACAUUACAAACAAGUGUAGAGAGUGUAAGAGUUGAUAGUUAUGAAGUCUUAGAGCACCUUAAAAUGAUUUCAUCAUUUGAAAAGUAAAUGGUGCAACAUUAAGAACAGAACGUCCAACAUAUCUAACUCAUUCCAAUCUUCUAAACAUUUUCAUAACUCCAGGAAAGAUGGAAGGAAUCGCAAUCAUCAGUGUGUGUGUGCGCGCGCAUGUGUGUGUGUAUAGAAAGAUUAAUUCAUAAAUCAUACACCUCAAUUUCAGUUUUCUUCCAUGAACCAUCUAUUUUCAUGUUUUUGUACUUGAAACAAUGGUUCAAAAGAAAUAAACCUAAACAGAUUUUUCGGAAAAAAACAUGUCCUAGUAACCAUGGCACAAUUAAACAUAAUGCCUCACCAGAAAUUCCAUAAAGAACCAAUGAGAGAAAAAAUAAAAAUUGAUCACUUGGUUGAUAAAACCCACUAAAUUGUUCCAAGCUUUAUUCUGAAAAGAUGACUCACAAGUUCUGAGCGAUGCAUGCUAUGGCGAGACCAGCUAGCGUGAUGCAAAUCCUGGUGCCACAGAGGCUGAGGUGGGGGCACAGGUGGAGUUGGCAAAACCAAUGAAGGUCUGUUCAUAACAUCACGUUGAUCCUCAUUUUGUUCAUCUCUCUGCUGGUCCUCAUCUCGCUCUGGUGAAGUGGGAGUUGGUGUUGGUAAGUUUCUGUGCAGAUCCCAAUCAACAGGAGCACGGCCUUGCCUGUCCACAUAUGACUGUAUUAAUUGGUCCAGACUUUCACGGAAGCCACUAUGAAGAAGAUUAGAUACACUUCUCCUGCUCAAAAGUUCCCUAAGUUCCAUACUAUACACAUUAUCAUCGUCCGGUGGAUGAAAUCUAUUAAAUCUUCUCAUUGGAACAGCACGGCGCAUUCUUGGAGGAUCAGAAGGUCCCUGUGUCCAAUUUUCAAUAGCUUCCCGAGAGCUAUUCUCAUGCCAAACUCUCUGAGCUUCUUCUGGACGACUUUGUUCACUCUGGACAUUUCCAGUUCUUUCCUGGGGCCAGUCAUUAACUGAAUUCUCUUGCCAAUUCCCAUCCAUAGGUUGUUCUGCAUCACCAUUUCUCCAUUCAUUAAACUGACUAUAGUCUGACUGUCGCCAGUUUCGUCCCUCAUCAUCUGUAAUUUGUCCCUGCCAACCCUCUCCUUGGUUAGCUGUUUCUUGCCAAUUCAUGUUAUUGGCAGCAGCAUUGCUUUGUAAGUUUUCUGUUUGUUCAGACAGCCGAUGGGUGUCAUUUUCUUGACUUCUAGACUGCAAUUGUUCACUGUCUUCAAGUUGGAUAUUCUGAGAAGUGUUUGUCUGACUCCAAUCAUUUCUAGAAUCAUUGACAUUACUAUCAAGUGUGCUAUCAGAAUGGCCACUUACUUGGCCACGAACAAUAUUUUCCAACCUGGAACGGAACCCUUCCCUCAAGCCAGAAACAGUAUGACGUUGUCUUAAUUGAACUAGUUCGCUUGCAGCCAUUGAAGGUGGUCUCUCUUCUUCAACAGGUCUUUCAUUUCGCAAGAAUCUACCUCUCAGUAAUGACUGUAUGCGGUUACGAUGAGCAAAAUCAGAGACAGCUCGAUGCUCCAACAAUCCUUGAAGUUCCCUCUGUCUUUCCCGCUCAAUCCUCAUGAGUAGGUCAAGAAGAGCUUGUCUUCCUCGAAGCCUCAGCAUGUCUCGACGAAUAUGUUCUGGUUGCCCUUCAUCAUUGUCAGCAGCUGACCCAUCACGAACUCUGUCAACUUGUGCAUCAAGUCUGGCAGCCUGCUCUUCCCUCCGUCCCCCACGACCUCCUCGCUGCUGACUUGCCAUCUGCACCCACUCCCUAACAAUUCUAACUCUUUCACGUUCUGUCUCACCGAGCCAUUCCCCUCGAGGACUGCUAUUCCUGUGGGACACAUUAGAUGUAUGAUCACUAAUGCCAGUCUCCAUCCAUCCUCGAACAAUCUGCCUAACCCUCUCCCUCUCAACUUCGCCAAGAUCGGGAGAUUGCUCUCUGCUAGACCCAUUAUUGUCCCCACGCUCAUUCUGUGAGCCCAGUCGCUCAUGUGACCAAGGACCAAAUUCAUUCUCACUCUCACUUGCAUCCACCAAACUUCCCUGAUUCUCACUACCCCGACUCUCUGACAUGUUUGUACUUGACAUAUUUGUAUUAGACUCCACACUUCUUUGCUGUCUCAAUCUCUCCCUCACUCUCUCCCGUGCCCUAUUCAAUAAAUGCUCAUCCUCUAACUCCCGCCACAUUUGAAGAAUUGCAGAUGCCUGAGUGCUUGGCCGUUCAACCGCCCCCUGCCUCCUUGACGUGGGCGACUGAGACUCGCUCAAAAAUGAAGAAUCAAGCAUGGAAACCGUAUGCAAACCUGCAAGUGCCAUCAAUUCUGACUCACGAUUCCUCCUCUCAAUAGUGGUUAUCAUCUCCUGUGCCUGACGAGCAGCCCAACGGCUUAAUAUGCGGGAGUGGCGCCUCCUCGCAGCCGAUGACUCGGCCAAGUCAUCACCCUCUAGAUCAGACCUACGUCUCCUGCGGACAAGCUGAUCCCCCUCGUCAUCCUCUUCCUCCGCGUUACGAGUGGAGCUACAUGAGGCGAAUGACAUACAAUCAUCCAAGUGGCCACGCAUCAAUUCCUCAAAUCCCAGCUCGAAUUCAGCUCGGGCAUCAUCGGUUGAUUCAGGUUUUUGUUGUAAAGGUUGAAAAUCUGUCAUCCUCACAAUCCCUACCCCCACCUCACACCACCACUCUCAAAACGCCAUCUAUAAUAAUAAUAAUACUAAUAAUAAUAAUAAUAAU